AACGAACGCUGGCGGCAUGCCUAACACAUGCAAGUCGAACGAACCCUUCGGGGUUAGUGGCGCACGGGUGCGUAACGCGUGGGAAUCUGCCCUUUGCUUCGGAAUAACAGUUAGAAAUGACUGCUAAUACCGGAUGAUGUCUUCGGACCAAAGAUUUAUCGGCAAGGGAUGAGCCCGCGUAGGAUUAGGUAGUUGGUGGGGUAAAGGCCUACCAAGCCGACGAUCCUUAGCUGGUCUGAGAGGAUGAUCAGCCACACUGGGACUGAGACACGGCCCAGACUCCUACGGGAGGCAGCAGUGGGGAAUAUUGGACAAUGGGCGCAAGCCUGAUCCAGCAAUGCCGCGUGAGUGAUGAAGGCCUUCGGGUCGUAAAGCUCUUUUACCAGGGAUGAUAAUGACAGUACCUGGAGAAUAAGCACCGGUUAACUCUGUGCCAGCCGCCGCCGUAAAAC
rnacentral:rRNA from 1 species